rnacentral:pre_miRNA from 1 species
AUAGUAGUGUGACAUGCUCGUUGGGUUGUACUCUGGUGUUGUGUGUUUAAUUAUUAUUAAAUUACUUUUGGGUAACGGGGUGAUACACUUAA